rnacentral:rRNA from 1 species
AUGGCAGAGCUCGUGGCCACCAUGGUGGUCGGGCCAUUGCUCUCAGUCGUGAAGGACAAGGUGUCCAGCUACCUGCUUGACCAGUACAAGGUGAUGGAGGGCAUGGAGGAGCAGCACAGGGUGCUCAAGCGCAAGCUGCCGGCCAUCUUGGACGUCAUUGAUGACGCCGAGCAGACCGCGUCCCACAGAGAAGGGGCCAAGGCUUGGCUCGAGGAGGUCAAGAGGGUGGCCUACGAGGCUAACGGGCUCUUCGACGAGUUCAACUACGAGGCGCUCCGCCGCGAGGCCAGGAAGAACGGGCACUAUGGCGAGCUCGGCUUCAAUGCAGUAAAGCUCCUCACCACCCACAACCGUUUUACGUUCCGCGACAGGAUGGGGAAGAAGCUGUGCAGGAUUGUGCAGGCCAUCGAAGUCCUUGUGGCUGAGAUGAACGCCUUUGGGUUUAAGUAUCAGCAGCAAGCACCAGAGUCCAUGCGGUGGAGGCAGAUGGACCAUGUUAUCUUCGAUCCGAAGAAAAUCAUCAGCAGAUCGAGAAGCCGAGACACUAAGAAUAUUGUUGGUACAUUACUUGGUCAAGCCAACAAUGCGGAUCUCUCGGUCAUUCCCAUCGCUGGAGUAGGGGGCCUAGGCAAGACCACCUUGGCGCAGCUAAUUUACAAUGAACCUGAAAUUCAGAAGCAUUUCGAGUUGCUGAUCUGGGUUUGUGUCUCUGACAGCUUUGAUGUGGAUUCCCUGGCUAAAAGAAUAGUUGCAUUUCAUCUAGAAAAAGAUGUAGUUGAAGCAGCAGCUUCCAAGAAAAGCCCACUGGAUAGUCUUCAAGACGUACUAAGCGGGCAUAGGUACCUCCUUGUAUUGGAUGACGUCUGGAACCGAGAAAGUGAUAAGUGGGAAAAGCUCAAGGACCGCCUUACACAUGGUGCCAACGGCAGUGUGGUUCUGACAACUACUCGUGAUGAAGGAGUCGCAAAAAUAAUGGGUACAGUUAAACCCUAUAAUCUCGCAGCUUUGGAGGAUAACUUCAUAAAGGAAAUUAUCGAGACAAGAGCAUUCAGUUUGCAGAAGGAAGAAGAAAGGCUUGCUGUGCUAGUUAAUAUGGUUGAUGAGAUCGUGAAGAGAUGCCGUGGCUCUCCUUUGGCCGCAACAGCGCUGGGCUCUGUGCUGCGUACAAAGACAAGUGAAGAAGAAUGGAAGGCUAUAUCAAGCAGAAGCAACAUUUGCACCGAGGAGUCUGGAAUUUUACCAAUACUCAAGCUCAGCUACAAUGACUUGUCAUCACAAAUGAAGCAAUGCUUUGCUUUCUGUGCUGUUUUCCCCAAGGAUUACGAGAUUGAUGUAGACAAACUGAUCCAACUAUGGAUAGCACAUGGCUUCAUCCAGGACCACAAAGAAGUUAGUCCUGAAACCAUUGGCAACCGGAUUUUCAGCGAGUUGGCCUCAAGUUCAUUCUUUGUGGAUGUGAAGCAAUUAAAAGCCACAUCCUAUGAACGCAUGGUGGGGGGUAGUUAUUACAAACGUACAUGUAAAAUCCAUGAUCUUAUGCAUGAUGUUGCGCUGUCUACAAUGGAGAAUGAAUGUGGUUUUGCACCCAAGGAACCAAAUCGGAUUGAGUGGCUUCCAGAUACAGCUCGCCACUUACUUUUGUCUUGUGAAAAACCAGAAAUUGUUUUGAAUGGUUCUCUGGCAAGAAAAUCUCCAGCUAUUCAGACACUCCUGUGUGAUAGUUAUAUGGAAUACCCACUGCAGCAUUUAUCAAAAUAUAGCACUUUGAAGGCAUUACAGCUCCAUACGCGGAGAAGUCCAUUCCCCUUCAAAUCAAAGCAUCUUCAUCACCUAAGGUACCUUGAUCUCUCAAGAAGUGAUUUUGAAGCACUUCCUGAAGAUAUAAGCAUUCUAUAUAACCUGCAAACAUUGAAAAUCUCUGGCUGUCAAGAACUGCGUCGGUUUCCAAGACAAAUGAAGUAUAUGACUGCUCUCCGUCACCUCUACACUCAUGGUUGUCCAAAGAUGAGGAGCAUGCCUGGUGACCUCCGGAAACUCAUGUCCCUACAGACGCUUACGUGUUUUGUAGCAGGCCGUACUGGCUCUAAGUGCAGCAAUGUUGGAGAGUUGCAGCAUUUAAAUCUUGGUGGUCAGCUAGAGCUAAAACAGCUAGAGAAUGUGACAGAAGAAGAUGCAAAAGCAGCAAAUCUUGGAAAGAAGAAGGAACUCCGAGAACUGACAUUAAAAUGGACUGUUGGUUCUAGGGAUGAUGCAAGGGUGCUCGAGUGUGUCAAGCCUCAUCAUGGCCUGCAGUCUCUAAGGAUAGAAUCCUACGGAGGCACCACAUUUCCAACAUGGAUGGCUAUGUCGCGAAACAUGGUUGAAAUCCAUCUCUCCUAUUGUAAAAACCUACAAUGGCUAUUCAGUUCUGGUGCAUCCUUCAGUUUUCCAAAUCUGAAGGAGUUUACACUUCGAGGUCUGGAAUGUUUGGAGGGAUGGUGGGAAUCAAGUAACAAGGAACAAGGAAAAGAGGUAAUAUUUCCUCAGCUUGAGAAGUUGCAUAUUCUUGACUGUGCAAAGCUGACAACAUUGCCAGCAACACUGCUUGGAGAAUCUCACGGUAGAAUGGCACGCUCAGCAUUUCCUACAUUGAAGGUUCUCGAAUUGAGAUACUUGAGGAGCUUUGAGAGAUGGGAUGCAGUCGAAGGACCUCAAGGAGCAGAGAUAAUGUUUCCUCAGCUUGAGGAGUUGUAUGUUGCACACUGUGGAAUGAUCAAAGCAUCAUCGGGACAACAAAAGGUUUGUCCAAAGCUGACAAUAAAAGCUGAAUCACCAAAGCUACGUGUUUUAGAGAUGCAGGGCAGUGAGGAAGAGAUGUUCCUGUGGAUAGCUAGACAUGUGACUUCACUGACCAAUCUGAAGCUGCAGAACUGUGAAGGCUCGGAAACAACCUCGGCAGCAGCGGCUGAUAUUAGUUUGAGACAAGCGAUGAGUGCCAUGGAGAAAUGGAACCGUCACGAUUUCCCUCUGGCAGACAUGGAGUUAAUUGGCUUUAAGUCAGGCAUAACCAAGCUAUGUGCAUGCUUUGUACAGCUCCAACGCUUGUGCAUCAAUGAUUGUGCCGCACUUGUCCACUGGCCAGAGAAAGAGUUCCAAAGCUUGCUAUCCUUGAGGAGUCUAAACAUUAUGUCCUGCGGACAACUGGUUGGAUACGCAGCCGAGCCAUCAACAACAACAUCAGAAUCCUCGAGUCAGCUCCUGCCACGCCUGGAGUCUCUCAAGAUAUAUGGCUGUACGAGCAUGGUAGAGGUCUUCAGACUCCCCGCGUCCCUGAGGAAGAUGACGAUUCGCGAUUGCGCGAAGCUCAGGUCCAUAUUCAGCAGCAGGAUGCCACAGCAGGGACAGCCAUCAGCAUCGGCCAUUGUUCAAGGCUCACCACCUGUAUAUUCGGAGGUGCUCCCAUGCUUAGAAGAGAUAGAUAUACGGGGGUGCGACGGAUUAACAGGGGGCCUUGAUCUUCCCCCGUCCCUCAAGCACGUAAGCGUCUAUCGGUGCAGUGGGUUGAGGUCAGUGGAAUCUCACUCGGGAGAGUUCCCGUCGCUGGAGAGCCUCUCCAUCGGGCUCUGUGAGACCCUGUCAUCCCUACCGGAUGGCCCACGAGCAUACCCGUCUCUCAGAAUGCUCAAGGUCUACGACUGUCCGGGUAUGAAGAGGCUCCCUGCUUGCCUGCAGCAACGCUUAGGUAGCCUCGAGGGGAUAACUCUAGAUGCCCAUCAUCAAGGACCUAUUCUGUCGAAGCCCAAGACAUGGAUAAAUGGCCUCUGUAGAGGUUAG